rnacentral:sRNA from 1 species
GGGCUCCCAGCGCUAUAAAAACUUUAUAAACCCCCCGGAGCCCGAGCAGUGUGAAGAAGAAGAGGCAAGAACGACCCCCGGACCGACCAAAGCCCGCGCGCCGCUGCAUCCCGCGUCCAGCACCUACGUCCCGCCGCCGUCGCCGCCGCCACCAUGCCCAAGAGAAAGGCUGAAGGGGAUGCUAAGGGAGAUAAAGCCAAGGUGAAAGACGAAGUAAGUUAUUAUCUCUUCAAGGGUCAAAGCCUUGGACUAGCAGAGGCUACUGGACUCGGUGAUUAACCGUAACCUGUGUCCUGAAUUUACACUUCUAUAAUCUAGAGCAAAUUGAUACCAAACUUUCAAAGCGACUUACCUGUCCUAUUUCUAACUUUCUCGUUGUCUUUAAUAGCCACAGAGAAGAUCCGCGAGGUUGUCUGCUGUAAGUGUAUGCUUUUGAAUUUUCGUAUUUGUCCCUGAAACUAAAAAACAUCAAAAAACAAUUCCCUUUGCUUCCCAUGAAUCAUGGUUAGUGCCUGGUUUUGAAUCAUUGCCUCUACUUGGGACUCUUGCUCCUUUGGGUUUUGCUGGCUCUGAAAUUCUGAUGCCUGUAGCCAAAGUGGGACAUUUGAGUGGGCUUCUGGAGAUCCAACAUUCUAGAAGAAAGCCAACCACCAAAACUUUGAGGAGGAGGAAAAACUUCUCUACCCUUGGUACUUUUGGUUGGUUGUGGGUGGUUUUCUUCAGUCCAUUGUGCUGAUGUUCACUUUUUCCUCUCUUCCUGCCAAAAAAAGAAACCUGCUCCUCCAAAGCCAGAGCCCAAGCCUAAAAAGGCCCCUGCAAAGAAGGGAGAGAAGGUACCCAAAGGGAAAAAGGGAAAAGCUGAUGCUGGCAAGGAGGGGAAUAACCCUGCAGAAAAUGGAGAUGCCAAAACAGACCAGGCACAGAAAGCUGAAGGUGCUGGAGAUGCCAAGUGAAGUGUGUGCAUUUUUGAUAACUGUGUACUUCUGGUGACUGUACAGUUUGAAAUACUAUUUUUUAUCAAGUUUUAUAAAAA